rnacentral:rRNA from 1 species
UGGAGCCUACGGGGCGCAGCAGUGGGGAAUAUUGCACAAUGGGGGAAACCCUGAUGCAGCAACGCCGCGUGAAGGAAGACGGUUUUCGGAUUGUAAACUUCUGUUCUUAGUGAAGAAUAAUGACGGUAGCUAAGGAGCAAGCCACGGCUAACUACGUGCCAGCAGCCGCGGUAAUACGUAGGUGGCAAGCGUUGUCCGGAAUUACUGGGUGUAAAGGGAGCGCAGGCGGGAAGCCCAGUCAUCUUUGAAAACU